UCUCCGUAGGUGAACCUGCGGAGGGAUCAUUACAGAGUUCUCGCCCUCGCGGGUAGAUCUCCCACCCACUGUUAUCGUUACUGUGUUGCUUUGGCGGGCCGCCGGGCCCCGCUCGGCCGCCGGCUCCGGCUGGCGCGCGCCCGCCAGAGGCCCAGCAAACUCUGAAUGUUAGUGUCGUCUGAGUACUAUAUAAUUGUUAAAACUUUCAACAACGGAUCUCUUGGUUCUG
rnacentral:misc_RNA from 1 species